rnacentral:rRNA from 1 species
GACGAACGCUGGCGGCGUGCCUAACACAUGCAAGUCGAGCGGAGGUAUUCAAGGAGCAAUCUGCGGAUACUUUAGCGGCGGACGGGUGAGUAACGCGUGAGCAACCUGCCUUUCACAGGGGGAUAAGGCGGCGAAAGCCGCUCUAAUACCGCAUGAGACCCCGGUGGUGAUACCACAGCGGUCAAAGGAGCAAUCCGGUGAGAGAUGGGCUCGCGUCCGAUUAGGUAGUUGGUGAGGUAAAGGCUCACCAAGCCAAUGAUCGGUAGCCGGCCUGAGAGGGUGAACGGCCACAUUGGAACUGAGAGACGGUCCAAACUCCUACGGGAGGCAGCAGUGGGGAAUAUUGGGCAAUGGGGGAAACCCUGACCCAGCAACGCCGCGUGAGGGAAGAAGGUUUUCGGAUUGUAAACCUCUGUUCUUGGGAAGAGCAGAAGACGGUACCCAAGGAGGAAGCCCCGGCUAACUACGUG